CGGAAAGGGAAAGUAGCGCGAGCCUGCGCGGCUGGGUACAUUGUCGUGCUUGGAAGUUCUAGGUAAUUAUGUAAUGAGUCUACUCCAUGCCUCUCCUUCAAAGUGGAGAGUAUGUACAUGAAAUAAAAGAUGGUGAAAGCUUUGUAAUUCCCGUCACCGACUCCUGUUUGCCCUCUCGGUCACCGAACAACAUGCCGUGCUGGAGUGGUAAGGAGCCCAUAAUCCAGAACCUAGACCAGUAUUCUGAGGAUGUCUGUUUGAGUCACACCAUGGCAGAUUGUACAAUCUGAAUUCAAUAAAAGUCUGGAAUUAAAA